rnacentral:lncRNA from 1 species
GAAAAUAAACCGCAAAAAUUAUAAAAAAAAGGUUAAAAUUCUUCAGUUCCAGUUCAUAUUUUGGAACAGAAACUGUUUGGUAAUAAGCUCUAGAUAUAGAGAACCAAUACUCCAGAGUUUUCUUCUCAAGCUUUGAUGAGGCUUGGGCUACAAUGAUACUCCUCUAAUUCUUAAUCAAGGCCAAUAACCAUCUUCUUAAUGAAAAGCGCUUUGACUGAAGCUCUAGCAUUGUGUGUGUAGGAUUCAAAAUCAGCAUGGUGGACCAAUAUGUCUCCCACCUUCUCUGUGUGCCGUCAAGUGACCAAACUUGGACUCUUCUGCUGUCUUUUCCAUCUUGCUGAUAGAGUGCGACUGAUUAUUCCAAUCUACAUCUACCCAUUAAAAAGAAAAUUAAGCUGAAAGUGGUGCCCUUCCCAACACCAAUAAUCUCUUGACGUAUAGAGGCCUUUGAAUGUGAGACUUAGUAGAGACACAAGGCACGUCUGGGGCCUAGAAUUGUGACCAAGCUAAUUCCUAAGACCAUGUUUGGAUCUCAGAAAACAUACAGAAGCUGAAGUAUGCCCCUACAUAUGGACUCGGAAAGAUCUCAACUAAACAAUUAGAAAAUUAGAAUAGCAUGAAAUGAAGAAUGCAAAGAAAGAAACGAGAAACGAAUUACCAUUCACCGGCAGCCUUCCAGCAGCGGAGAAGCAGCAAUACCGAGUCCCAAAUAAGUGUUGAGUUUGGAAGAGAAACAUUCCAUUCCAAACAUGGUGUUGGAGUCCAUCCGAUCAGAAAUUCAUCUGAAUCAAAGUCCGGCUGGGCCUUCUUGUGGAUCCGAGAAUUGUACAAGCAUGGGCUGUGGUUUCCAUGAGCUUAACAGGUCCUCAUGUGCGUUUCAAAACCCAAAGCCUCCUCCGUCCUCAUCAUUAUUAAUGAGUGCAUAAUGAGGUCCCAAUACAGGAGACAACGACCACCAUCCACGACAAGGAUGGCAUACCAACACCAUUCAAUAUUAAAAUUUCGAAAAGGGGGGGGCUUUUUUUGCCCCUUAUCUCCCCUGCAAAGCAAAUGAGAUGACAAAAUCUAUCAAUUAUUUGGCAGCGGCGUGUGGCCAUGCCAGUGCACCAUCUACAUCUCUCAAAGCGCACAGAUUGCAGAGAUAAGCCUGUGUGCGUCUGGGGUGACAAGGACCACAACUUAUCCCUUGUUUGAUAAAUUCCUGAUUUUUGCUUCUUAGAGAUUU